rnacentral:rRNA from 1 species
UACGAAGGGGGGCUAGCGUUGUUCGGAAUUACUGGGCGUAAAGGGCGCGUAGGUGGCUUUGAUAGUCGGGUGUGAAAUGCCUGGGCUUAACCCAGGAACUGCACUCGAAACUCCAAGGCUUGAGUGUGGGAGAGGUUGGUGGAAUUCCCAGUGUAGCAGUGAAAUGCGUAGAUAUCGUGAGGAAGACCAGUGGCGAAGGCGGGUUUCUGGAGAGUUCCUGACGCUGAGGCACGGAAAGCGUGGGGAGCAAACAGGG